rnacentral:rRNA from 1 species
GACGAACGCUGGCGGCGUGCUUAACACAUGCAAGUCGAACGGAACGGUCCUGCUUUUGUGGGCAGCUCGAGUGGCGACCGGGUGAGUAACCCGUGGGUAACCUGCCCUUGCCUUGGGGAUAACUUAAGGAAACUGGGGCUAAUCCCGGCUAGGAGCUCCCGCUGUUUGGUGGGGGUUGGAAAGUUUCGGCUGUUGGGAAUGGACUAGCGGAGUAUCAGCUUGUUGGAGGGGUAGUGGCAUACCAAGGCCUUGAAGGGUGGCCGGCCUGAUAGGGUCACCGGCCACAUUGGGACUGGGAUACGGCCCAGACUACUACGGGAGGCAGCAGUGGGGUAUAGUGCACUAUGGGCGGAAGCCUGAUGCAGCAACGCCGCGUGCGGGAUGACGUGCAUCGGGUUGUAUACCACUGUCGCCUGUGACGAAGCGUGAAUGACAGUAAUGGGUAAAUAAGCACCGGCUAACUACGUG